rnacentral:misc_RNA from 1 species
UUUUUUUUUUUUUUUUCUCUACUGAUUGAUCCAUGGAAUGCAUUUCAGCAGUUGGCGCUAAAAUUGGAUGUUAUAUUCCACCAGAGACUUCUAGGAAAUUCUAUAUUAAAACACAGGUUGAAAGAGUCAAUGCAAUAAUGAUCUCCACCUCUUUUCUGCAUUUAUCCUGAUUAAAGAGAUCAAAUAGCUUUAACAAAACUGCAACGCACAAAAUCUCACACACAAAAUGGAAUGUGCAAUUUUAAUUGCUUCCUACUUUUAAAGCUAAUAAACAGUGUCUAAAAGAAGAAAACAUUGUAUUAAAUCCUUAUGACAAAAUUAACGAGAAUUUGCUUCUUAAAGUAUUGCACAACUAAGCUAGGUCUUGAUUAAAUCCAACCAAAUUCAUCCAAUCUACUCAAUUACCAUGAUAACGGCAAAAUAUUGGACAGGAAACUAUACAGUAAAAUGCGUAAGAACCAAUCUUCCUAUCGGUACUGCACAAUCUCAAAAGCUAAAAGAGAUAGAUUAACAUGACCCAGAAGGGGAAAUGGCCUAGAGAAAAGGAUUCUAAGUCGCUAUAUGAAUGACACAGCACAAGGCAACGAAGGGACAAACCACCCAAAUUCAAUGAAACCCAUAGUUCAUGAAAGAAGUGUAAGCUCAGUAAAGAAGAAACUAUUAAUUAAUCAUUAAUAUAAAGAAACACGAAGGAGCAGAAGUAUUGAAAGGAUGGAAAACCAAGAACUAAUCACUCAUGAGAUUCUGUGCUAGUCGGCUUCG